UAAUGUCAAAACGACUCUCGGCAACGGAUAUCUCGGCUCUCGCAUCGAUGAAGAACGUAGCGAAAUGCGAUACUUGGUGUGAAUUGCAGAAUCCCGUGAACCAUCGAGUCUUUGAACGCAAGUUGCGCCCGAAGCCUUCGGGCCGAGGGCACGCCUGCCUGGGCGUCACGCAUCGCGUC
rnacentral:rRNA from 1 species